rnacentral:rRNA from 1 species
GAUGAACGCUGGCGGCGUGCUUAACACAUGCAAGUCGAACGGGAAAUAUUUUAUUGAAGCUUCGGUUGAUUUAAUUUAUUUCUAGUGGCGGACGGGUGAGUAACGCGUGGGUAACCUGCCUUAUACUGGGGGAUAACAGCCAGAAAUGACUGCUAAUACCGCAUAAGCGCACAGAACCGCAUGGUCCGGUGUGAAAAACUCCGGUGGUAUAAGAUGGACCCGCGUUGGAUUAGCUGGUUGGCAGGGCAGCGGCCUACCAAGGCAACGAUCCAUAGCCGGCCUGAGAGGGUGAACGGCCACAUUGGGACUGAGACACGGCCCAGACUCCUACGGGAGGCAGCAGUGGGGAAUAUUGCACAAUGGGGGAAACCCUGAUGCAGCGACGCCGCGUGAAGGAAGAAGUAUCUCGGUAUGUAAACUUCUAUCAGCAGGGAAGAUAAUGACGG